rnacentral:rRNA from 1 species
UACGUAGGCAGCAAGCGUUGUUCGGAAUUACUGGGCGUAAAGAGUGUGUAGGCGGUGCUCCAAGUCUGGUGUGAAAUCUCCCGGCUUAACUGGGAGGGUGCAUUAGAAACUGGAAUGCUAGAGGAUGGGAGAGGUAAGCGGAAUUCCUGGUGUAGCGGUGAAAUGCGUAGAUAUCAGGAGGAACACCUGUGGUGAUAGACAGCUUACUGGACCAUUUCUGACGCUGAGACACGAAAGCGUGGGUAGCAAACAGG